rnacentral:rRNA from 1 species
CUUCCCCUUCGGGGGACAAAGUGACAGGUGGUGCAUGGUUGUCGUCAGCUCGUGUCGUGAGAUGUUGGGUUAAGUCCCGCAACGAGCGCAACCCUUAAGCUUAGUUGCCAUCAUUAAGUUGGGCACUCUAAGUUGACUGCCGGUGACAAACCGGAGGAAGGUGGGGAUGACGUCAAAUCAUCAUGCCCCUUAUGAUUUGGGCUACACACGUGCUACAAUGGACAAUACAAAGGGCAGCAAAACCGCGAGGUCAAGCAAAUCCCAUAAAGUUGUUCUCAGUUCGGAUUGUAGUCUGCAACUCGACUACAUGAAGCUGGAAUCGCUAGUAAUCGUAGAUCAGCAUGCUACGGUGAAUACGUUCCCGGGUCUUGUACACACCGCCCGUCACACCACGAGAGUUUGUAACACCCGAAGCCGGUGGAGUAACCUUUUAGGAGCUAGCCGUCGAAGGUGGGACAAAUGAUUGGGGUGAAGUCGUAACAAGGUAGCCGUAUCGGAAGGUGCGGCUGGAUCACCUCCUUU